rnacentral:rRNA from 1 species
GAUGAACGCUAGCGGCAGGCUUAAUACAUGCAAGUCAAGGGGGUAGCAAUACAACCGGCGCACGGGUGAGUAACACGUACACAACAUACCAUAUACUGAGGUAUAGCUUCGGGAAACUGAAGGUAAUCCCUCAUAGUAUUGUGAAAGGGCAUCUUUUUACAAUUAAAGUUUCGACGGUAUAUGAUUGGUGUGCGUUUGAUUAGCUAGUUGGUAGGGUAACGGCCUACCAAGGCAACGAUCAAUAGCUGGCGUGAGAGCGCGACCAGCCACACUGGAACUGAGACACGGUCCAGACUCCUACGGGAGGCAGCAGUAGGGAAUAUUGGACAAUGGGCGAAAGCCUGAUCCAGCCAUGCCGCGUGAUAGAUGAAGGCCCUCUGGGUUGUAAAUAUCUUUUAUCUGGGAAGAAACACUUCUAUUCUUAGAAGCUUGACGGUACCAGAGGAAUAAGCACCGGCUAACUCCGUGCCAGCAG